UGCCAGCCGCCGCGGUAACACGUACUGUGCGAACGUUAUUCGGAAUCACUGGGCUUAAAGGGUGCGUAGGCGGCUUUACAAGUCAGGUGUGGAAUCCCACGGCUCAACCGUGGAACUGCGCUUGAAACUGUUUAGCUAGAGUAUAGAAGAGGAUAGUAGUAUUCUUAGUUGUAGGGGUUGAAUCCAUUCAGAUUAAGGAGACUAUCAAAAGCGAAGGCAACUAUCUGGUUUAUCACUGACACUAAGGCACAAAAGCAUGGGUAGCAAACAGGAUUAGAUA
rnacentral:rRNA from 1 species